CCUCUUGGUUUGUUUGGAGGUCGUGCCUGCCCACUGAUGAAUUGAAGGGCCGCGGUAUUUUGACCGUGCAAAGGUAGCAUAAUCAUUAGUCUUUUAAUUGUGGACUGGAAUGAAUGGUUUGACGAAAUAAACGUUGUCUCUUCAGUAGAUGAUGAAUUUCACUUUUGAGUUAAAAGGCUCAAUUGAGAAUUGGGGACGAGAAGACCCUAUAGAUCUUUAUUUUUGAUUUAUUUAGUAAUUUGUAGUUGUUUAAGGGGUUAAUUAAAUUAAUAAUUUUGUUGGGGUGACGUGAGAAUAUUAUAAACUUCUUUUUUAAUUUGCCUUGAUUGAUGGAUUAUGGAUCCUGUAUUAUGGAUAUAAGAUUAAGAUACCUUAGGGAUAACAGCGUUAUUUUAUUUGAGAGUUCUUAUUGACAAUAAAGAUUGCGACCUCGAUGUUGGAUUAAGAUGAAAUUUUGGUGUAGUAGCUAAAUGUUUUGGUCUGUUC
rnacentral:rRNA from 1 species